rnacentral:rRNA from 15 species
GCUUACGGCCAUACCACCCUGAAAGCGCCCGAUCUCGUCCGAUCUCGGAAGCUAAGCAGGGUCGGGCCUGGUUAGUACUUGGAUGGGAGACCGCCUGGGAAUACCAGGUGCUGUAAGCC